rnacentral:misc_RNA from 1 species
GAAAUGCGAUAAUUAAUGUGAAUUGCAGAAUUCAGUGAAUCAUCGAGUCUUUGAACGCACAUUGCGCCCCCUGGUAUUCCGGGGGGCAUGCCUGUCCGAGCGUCAUUGCUGCCCUCAAGCACGGCUUGUGUGUUGGGCUUCCGUCCCUGGCAACGGGGACGGGCCCAAAAGGCAGUGGCGGCACCAUGUCUGGUCCUCGAGCGUAUGGGGCUUUGUCACCCGCUCCCGUAGGUCCAGCUGGCAGCUAGCCUCGCAACCAAUCUUUUUAACCAGGUUGACCUCGGAUCAGGUAGGGAUACCCGUUGAACUUAAGC